rnacentral:rRNA from 1 species
UACGAAGGGGGCUAGCGUUGCUCGGAAUCACUGGGCGUAAAGGGCGCGUAGGCGGAUCUUUAAGUCGGGGGUGAAAGCCUGUGGCUCAACCACAGAAUUGCCUUCGAUACUGGGGAUCUCGAGACCGGAAGAGGUGAGUGGAACUGCGAGUGUAGAGGUGAAAUUCGUAGAUAUUCGCAAGAACACCAGUGGCGAAGGCGGCUCACUGGUCCGGUUCUGACGCUGAGGCGCGAAAGCCAGGGGAGCGAACGGG